UAAACGUCUCAGUUCGGAUUGUAGUCUGCAACUCGACUACAUGAAGCUGGAAUCGCUAGUAAUCGCAGAUCAGAAUGCUGCGGUGAAUACGUUCCCGGGUCUUGUACACGCCGCCCGUCACACCAUGGGAGUCGGAAAUGCCCGAAGCCGGUGACCCAACCAAAAGGAGGGAGCCGUCGAAGGCAGGUCUGAUAACUGGGGUGAAGUCGUAACAAGGUACC
rnacentral:rRNA from 1 species